UACGGAGGGGACUAGCGUUGUUCGGAAUUACUGGGCGUAAAGCGCGCGUAGGCGGAUUAGUAAGUCAGAGGUGAAAUCCCAGGGCUCAACCUUGGAACUGCCUUUGAUACUGCGAGUCUUGAGUUCGAGAGAGGUGAGUGGAAUUCCGGGUGUAGAGGUGAAAUUCGUAGAUAUUCGGAGGAACACCAGUGGCGAAGGCGUCUCACUGGCUCGAUACUGACGCUGAGGUGCGAAAGUGUCGGGAGCAAACAUG
rnacentral:misc_RNA from 1 species